rnacentral:rRNA from 1 species
GAUGAACGCUGGCGGCGUGCCUAAUACAUGCAAGUCGAACGCAUAGCUAAAGGUGCUUGCACCUUUCAAGUGAGUGGCGAACGGGUGAGUAACACGUGGACAACCUGCCUCAAGGCUGGGGAUAACAUUUGGAAACAGAUGCUAAUACCGAAUAAAACUUAGUGUCGCAUGACACAAAGUUAAAAGGCGCUUCUGCGUCACCUAGAGAUGGAUCCGCGGUGCAUUAGUUAGUUGGUGGGGUAAAGGCCUACCAAGACAAUGAUGCAUAGCCGAGUUGAGAGACUGAUCGGCCACAUUGUGACUGAGACACGGCCCAAACUCCUACAGGAGGCUGCAGUAGGGACUCUUCCACAAUGGGCGAAAGCCUGAUGGAGCAACGCCGCGUGUGUGAUGAAGGCUUUCUGGUCGUAAAGCAAUGUUGUACGGGAAGAACAGCUAGACUAGGAAAUGAUUUUAGUUUGACGGUACCAUACCAGAAAGGGACGGCUAAAUACGUG